UCCGCAAUAGCUCAGUCGGUAGAGCAGGUGACUGUUAAUCACCGGGUCGGCGGUUCGAGUCCGUCUUGCGGAGCCA
rnacentral:tRNA from 1 species